AAAGGUCCACGACGGCACCGGAAUUAUCAUCAAGACCAGCAUAAAACACUAUGAGCUUCCAUCAUUCCAGAAGGACUACCUCCAAGCUACAAACGUAGCGAUAGAAGAUUGGCAUGGUCCAAUCACCACAUCAGCAGUAUUGUCCUCCUAGACAUUUUAUUUCCAAACAAUACUUCGAUAAAUUCCUCCAAGACCUGGGCAAUAGAUUCAUAGCUGGAGAAGACUAUAACGCUAAACAUACGCAAUGGGGCAGCAGACUUAUCACAAUCAUUCACCCGUCAUAGCAACAAUUAAUUCAACAAUUAUCGAAAAUCAACUUAAUGGCUUUAUUCAUAACCAACUCACAAACUGGCAGCUCUUUAGGGAAGUAUUCAAUCAUUCAACAUCAGCCUCAAUAUCCCUAAAAACAAACAAAGAUAUAGAAGCAGCCACGGGAUAUUUAAACACCAGCAUAAUAAACGCGAUCCGUUCUUCCACCCCUACUAAGUGUUUUGUCAAUAAUAAUGAAUAUUUCCAUUACAUAAUAAUAAAAAUCGCAGAAAGAUGCAGACAGAAGAGUAUGGCAAAGUCAUAAGACACCUGAAGAUAAGCGUAAGCUAAAUAAGACAUCAAGAAGACUAACCAAAAUCCUUAAAACUUACAAAAAUUACUGUUUCCAAAAAUAUACUCCAACUAUUCACUAUGGAAGGCAUCCAGGAAACUCACUCGACCUGCGCAAAUAAUACCUCCAAUUAUCUGUCGGCAAGGUAGAUGGAUGCAUAGCCCUAUACAAAAUGCCAACUUGUUUGCAAGUCACUUAACUAAUGUCUUCAAACCGUAUUCUUGCAUUAUUGCCGCCGAAAUAACAGAAUACUUGCUCUCUGCCUUCCAGAUGUCUCCUCCUAUUGAACCUUUCUCAUUUCUGGGUAUUUCUACGGGUGACCAUAAAUAAUAUUCCAAUUCCAAACAAAGAUACAGUUAGAUACCUGGCCAUAAUUCUGGACAGAAGAAUGACAUGGAAACAGUACAUCGUAAAUAAAUCUAAACAACUGAAAGCAAAACUAAAAACAUUUUACUGCCUCAUUUGCAGACGCUCCAACUUAAACAUACAGGGUAAAAUAAUGCUAUAUAAAGCCAUAUUAAGCCCUGCUUGAACCUAUGGGAUCCAACUAUGGGAAACAACGAGUAAUUCCAAAUUUUCCAACGAUUCCAAUCAAAAACUCUAAGAUCCUUAAUAGAUGCACCUUGCUAUGUUAUCAACGAAACAAUACAUCGCGACCUUAAGAUACCCACAGUUAAAGAAGAAAUAUCCAAGUUCAGAAACAGAUAUAAUAUAAGAGUUAACAACCACCAAAACCCAUUAGUUACCCAAUUACUUGACACGACGGAUCAGAUCCGCAGACUAAAAGGACAAUACCCUUUAGAUUGAAGCAUUAGAUUCAACUAGAAUCAAACAUACUAUAAACUCUUAUGAUCCAAGUUUCAGUACCACGCCAAAAUAAUUUACUUAUAAUUCUCAAUGAGAAUUGAUUGUAAAUAGUCUACCAAAUAAAAAAAAAAAACGUACGAUCUCAUCAGCGAGUUACACAGCGUC
rnacentral:misc_RNA from 1 species